rnacentral:rRNA from 1 species
UACGUAGGGUGCAAGCGUUACUCGGAAUUACUGGGCGUAAAGGGUGCGUAGGUGGUUGUUUAAGUCUGUUGUGAAAGCCCCGGGCUCAACCUGGGAAUGGCAAUGGAUACUGGACAGCUAGAGUGCGGUAGAGGGUAGUGGAAUUCCCGGUGUAGCAGUGAAAUGCGUAGAGAUCGGGAGGAACACCAGUGGCGAAGGCGGCUACCUGGACCAGCACUGACACUGAAGCACGAAAGCGUGGGGAGCAAACAGG